UAGUGUCCACAUCAGCCCCCAGUACCCACCUCAGCCCCCCGUACCCACCUGAGUAUAGGGGGCUGAGGUGGGUACUGGGGGCUGAUGUGGACGC
rnacentral:miRNA from 1 species